rnacentral:rRNA from 1 species
CCCUUAGAGUUUGAUCCUGGCUCAGAUUGAACGCUGGCGGCAUGCCUUACACAUGCAAGUCGAACGGUAACAGCUCUUCGGAGGCUGACGAGUGGCGAACGGGUGAGUAAUACAUCGGAACGUGCCCGAUCGUGGGGGAUAACGGAGCGAAAGCUUUGCUAAUACCGCAUACGAUCUACGGAUGAAAGCAGGGGACCCUCGGGCCUUGCGCGAACGGAGCGGCCGAUGGCAGAUUAGGUAGUUGGUGGGAUAAAAGCUUACCAAGCCGACGAUCUGUAGCUGGUCUGAGAGGACGACCAGCCACACUGGGACUGAGACACGGCCCAGACUCCUACGGGAGGCAGCAGUGGGGAAUUUUGGACAAUGGGCGAAAGCCUGAUCCAGCAAUGCCGCGUGCAGGAUGAAGGCCUUCGGGUUGUAAACUGCUUUUGUACGGAACGAAAAGUCUCGGGAUAAUACCCUGGGACCAUGACGGUACCGUAAGAAUAAGCACCGGCUAACUACGUGCCAGCAGCCGCGGUAAUACGUAGGGUGCAAGCGUUAAUCGGAAUUACUGGGCGUAAAGCGUGCGCAGGCGGUUAUAUAAGACAGAUGUGAAAUCCCCGGGCUCAACCUGGGAACUGCAUUUGUGACUGUAUAGCUAGAGUACGU